AAAGCAAAACAAACAAACAAACAAAACCACCAUUGAUUUAAUAAGUGGAUACCUAGGGUUAAUAUCAGAAGAGUGGCCAGUUUUGCUUAAGAGAAGGUACGCAUUGUUUGGGGUGGGCUGGGAGUGGAGAGUCUAAUAUUUUUCUAUAUCUGGAGGUUUUGACUGUUUCUAACCUUUCAGAGAUCCUGUUCAACACUUGAGUGUACUUCCUUAGAGUCAUGGGUUAAUUAGGUAAAGUGGAGAUGACACAGAAGGUAUUCUUCAGAUUUUUGAGGCUGAAGUGGACACAUUUGGAGAGUGAAUGAAUCACACAAGGAAUGCCAGAAGAAAGGAAGGUACAGAAAAGAAGGACAAAGGGAAACAGAGGUUAGGAAAAGGCUUUGUGUCUUUUCAUUUGAAGCAUUCUUAGGGCCAUGUCUGUGGCAGCUUGAAGCAA